rnacentral:rRNA from 1 species
CCUACGGGCGGCAGCAGUCGAGAAUCAUUCACAAUGGGGGAAACCCUGAUGGUGCGACGCCGCGUGGGGGAAUGAAGGUCUUCGGAUUGUAAACCCCUGUCAUGUGGGAGCAAAUUAAAAAGAUAGUACCACAAGAGGAAGAGACGGCUAACUCUGUGCCAGCAGCCGCGGUAAUACAGAGGUCUCAAGCGUUGUUCGGAAUCACUGGGCGUAAAGGGUGCGGAGGCUGUUUCGUAAGUAGUGGUUGAAAGGCGCGGGCUCAACCCGCGGACGGCACAUGAAACUGGGAGACUAGAGUAAUGGAGGGGGAACCGGAAUUCUCGGUGUAGCAGUGAAAUGCGUAGAUAUCGAGAGGAACACUCGUGGCGAAGGCGGGUUCCUGGACAUUAACUGACGCUGAGGCACGAAGGCCAGGGGAGCGAAAGGGAUUAGAUACCCCAGUAGUC